rnacentral:rRNA from 1 species
GCCAGCAGCCGCGGUAAUUCCAGCUCCAGUAGUGUAUAUCAAUGUUGUUGCGGUUAAAACGCUCGUAGUUGGAUUACAAAAGCUCGAUGGGGCCGCAGCUCAAGUGGUUGCAGCGUCGUGGGGUUUUUUUAUCGCGAGAGCCGUGUGUGGGAUUAAUUUCUUGUAUGCGGUCACUUGCGGAGUGUGCCUUGAAUAAAGCACAGUGCUCAAAGCAGGCGUACGCUCGAAUGUUAUAGCAUGGAACGAAUAUUUUGACCAGGUCGAUUGUUGGUUGUUGACAGGGUCUCGAUUAAAAGGAACAUUUGAGGGCGUUGGUACUUGGUGGCGAGAGGUGAAAUUCUUAGACCCACCAAAGACUCACAAAUGCGAAAGCAUUCGCCAAGAGUGUUUUCAUUAAUCAAGAACGAAAGUCAGAGGUUCGAAGACGAUCAGAUACCGUCGUAGUUCUGACAGUAAACGAUGCCAACCUGGGGUUAGUUUGUUUCUAAAUAAGUUGGUCCCUCGGUGAAAACUAGUGUUUCGGUUCCGGGGAGAGUAUUCACGCAAGUGAAAAAUUUAAAGAAAUUGACGGAAUGGCACCACCAGGAGUGGAGCCUGCGGCUUAAUUUGACUCAACACGGGGAAACUCACCAGGUCCAGACAUUGACAGGAUUGACAGACUGAGAGAUCUUUCAUGAUACGAUGAUUGGUGGUGCAUGGCCGUUCUUAGUUGGUGGAGUGAUCUGUCAGGUUUAUUCCGGUAACGAACGAGACCACGAUCUCUAAUUGAAACGGUCAUUUUGUUUUGACCAAUCUUAGAGAGACAACCGGAUUCAAGCCGGGGGAAGCGUGGCAAUAACAGGUCUGUGAUGCCCUUCGAUGUUCUGGGCUGCACGCGCGCUACAAUGGCAGUGACAACGAGUGCCUGCUCUGAGAGGAGUGGGAAAUCUUGGAAAUCGCUGUCGUGAUUGGGAUUGAGCCUUGUAAUAAUUGCUCAUGAAAGAGGAAUUCCUCGUAAGCGCGAGUCAUCAGCUCGUG